rnacentral:misc_RNA from 1 species
ACAAACUUGGUCAUUUAGAGGAAGUAAAAGUCGUAACAAGGUUUCCGUAGGUGAACCUGCGGAAGGAUCAUUACCGAGUGAGGGUCCCCUCCGGGGGCCCAACCUCCCACCCGUGUCUACCGUACCAUGUUGCUUCGGCGGGCGCGCCCGUGCCCGCCGGAGACCCCUUGAACGCUGUUGUGAAUAAGGUUGUCUGAGUGAUAUUGCAAAACUGUCAAAACUUUCAACAACGGAUCUCUUGGUUCCGGCAUCGAUGAAGAACGCAGC